AGGCAGGUCCAGAACAAGGUGACGUCUGCCCUGACAUUUCUAAAGCCACCUUUCCUGGGAAGUCUGCUUCAGACUGGUUCUUGCUGCUCUCUGCCCUCAACAUUGGAAGACACAGCUGCACACUCAGGUGGUGGUGUGUGAACAGGGCCAAAAAAGAAGAACCUACUGUUUCACAUAUUGGCACUGCAGCCAGGAGUUUGCCUCGAUGGUCCUGAUGGGUCCAUUCCAAGUCAGCAUAUUCUGUGAUUCUAAGGGGCCAGUUGUGGCACAGGUCGCAGACACAGGGGACAGGAUGUGCUGCCUGCAGCUCACAGGAGGGCAGGGAGCUAAAACGCUGCCACCUUCAGAGCGGGACCCCUGGACAAACUGCCACGUGUCCCACACAGCCCCAGUGCCAGAAUCCACCCGUUCCCUUCUCACACAUCCAGAGGUGCAAGUGACUUCCCGUUUCAUUAGCCCUUCAUUAUUGCCAAAGGGAGCUGUUUCUACGUCACUGGCUCACCCAGAGAAGGUGCAGCAGAGGUGGACCUGGCUCCAGGUGUGGGUGGAAGGGAGCAGCUGUCUGGAGUAGGGACCAUCGGUUGCUCCACUGUGGCACUGGGGGGGUCUGGAUGGAUGAGGAGUGGGACCAACCCUGUGGGGUGCACCCAGACGUGCAGGUAGGAGGUGUUGCUGUCCCUCUUGCAAUGACAGACACUGGAGGCCAGGAAGACACAACUGACGCUGAGAAGGCCAAAGAGGAAAUCAAUUUCCUUCCCUCUUAUUUCAUUCUGUUGAGCCACCAAACUU